GACGAACGCUGGCGGCGUGCUUAACACAUGCAAGUCGAACGAAGAGCGAUGGAAGCUUGCUUCUAUCAAUCUUAGUGGCGAACGGGUGAGUAACGCGUAAUCAACCUGCCCUUCAGAGGGGGACAACAGUUGGAAACGACUGCUAAUACCGCAUACGAUCUAAUCUCGGCAUCGAGGAUAGAUGAAAGGUGGCCGCUACAUGUAAGCUAUCACUGAAGGAGGGGAUUGCGUCUGAUUAGCUAGUUGGAGGGGUAACGGCCCACCAAGGCGAUGAUCAGUAGCCGGUCUGAGAGGAUGAACGGCCACAUUGGGACUGAGACACGGCCCAGACUCCUACGGGAGGCAGCAGUGGGGAAACUUCCGCAAUGGACGAAAGUCUGACGGAGCAACGCCGCGUGAGUGAUGACGGCCUUCGGGUUGUAAAGCUCUGUUAAUCGGGACGAAAGGCCUUCUUGCGAAUAGUGAGAAGGAUUGACGGUACCGGAAUAGAAAGCCACGGCUAACUACGUG
rnacentral:rRNA from 1 species